GGAGUUAGCCGGUGCUUCUUCUGUGAGUGAUGUCCUUCCUGCCGGCUAUUAACCCGCAGGCCUUCUUCCUCACUGAAAGUGCUUUACAACCCGAAGGCCUUCUUCACACACGCGGCAUGGCUGGAUCAGGGUUGCCCCCAUUGUCCAAUAUUCCCCACUGCUGCCUCCCGUAGGAGUCUGGGCCGUGUCUCAGUCCCAGUGUGGCUGAUCAUCCUCUCAGACCAGCUACGGAUCGUCGCCUUGGUGAGCCGUUACCUCACCAACCAGCUAAUCCGACAUAGGCUCAUCCGAUAUCGCGAGGCCCGAAGGUCCCCCGCUUUCCCCCGUAGGGCCGUAUGCGGUAUUAGCCUGGGUUUCCCCAGGUUAUCCCCCACUACCGGGCAGAUUCCUAUGCAUUACUCACCCGUCCGCCGCUCGCCACCAGGGAGCAAGCUCCCCGUGCUGCCGCUCGACUUGCAUGUGUUAGGCCUGCCGCCAGCGUUCAAUCUGAGCCAGAAUCGAACCCUGA
rnacentral:rRNA from 1 species